UACGUAGGAUGCAAGCGUUGUCCGGAUUUAUUGGGCGUAAAGAGCGUGUAGGCGGCUUUGCAAGUCCGUUGUGAAAACUCGAGGCUCAACCUCGAGACGCCGGUGGAAACUGCAAAGCUAGAGUCCGGAAGAGGAGAGUGGAAUUCCUGGUGUAGCGGUGAAAUGCGCAGAUAUCAGGAGGAACACCCGUGGCGAAAGCGGCUCUCUGGGACGGUACUGACGCUGAGACGCGAAAGCGUGGGGAGCAAACAGG
rnacentral:rRNA from 1 species